AUUGAACGCUGGCGGCAGGCCUAACACAUGCAAGUCGAGCGGAUGAAGGGAGCUUGCUCCUGGAUUCAGCGGCGGACGGGUGAGUAAUGCCUAGGAAUCUGCCUGGUAGUGGGGGAUAACGUCCGGAAACGGGCGCUAAUACCGCAUACGUCCUGAGGGAGAAAGUGGGGGGAUCUUCGGACCUCACGCUAUCAGAUGAGCCUAGGUCGGAUUAGCUAGUUGGUGGGGUAAAGGCCUACCAAGGCGACGAUCCGUAACUGGUCUGAGAGGAUGAUCAGUCACACUGGAACUGAGACGCGGUCCAGACUCCUACGGGAGGCAGCAGUGGGGAAUAUUGGACAAUGGGCGAAAGCCUGAUCCAGCCAUGCCGCGUGUGUGAAGAAGGUCUUCGGAUUGUAAAGCACUUUAAGUUGGGAGGAAGGGCAGUAAGUUAAUACCUUGCUGUUUUGACGUUACCAACAGAAUAAGCACCGGCUAACUUCGUG
rnacentral:rRNA from 1 species